rnacentral:rRNA from 1 species
GUCCACGCCUAACGAUGUCAACUAGUUGUUGGUAGGGUAAACCUAUUAGUAACGAAGCUAACGCGCGAAGUUGACCGCCUGGGGAGUACGGCCGCAAGGUUAAACUCAAAGGAAUUGACGGGGACCCGCACAAGCGGUGGAUGAUGUGGAUUAAUUCGAUGCAACGCGAAACCUUACCUACCCUUGACAUGUCAGGAAUCCCGAUGAGAGUUGGGAGUGCCCGAAAGGGAACCUGAACACAGGUGCUGCAUGGCUGUCGU